UACAGAGGGUGCGAGCGUUAAUCGGAAUUACUGGGCGUAAAGCGUGCGUAGACGGUUAUGUAAGUCAGAUGUGAAAGCCCCGGGCUUAACCCGGGAAUGGCAUUUGAGACUGCACAGCUAGGAUGCGGAAGAGGGCAGUGGAAUUUCCGGUGUAGCGGUGAAAUGCGUAGAUAUCGGAAGGAACAUCAGUGGCGAAAGCGACUGCCUGGUCCAGCAUCGACGUUCAGGCACGAAAGCGUGGGGAGCAAACAGG
rnacentral:rRNA from 1 species